GCACCCGUAGCUUAGUUGGAUAGAGCACCGGAAUUCGAGUCCGGGGGUCGCACGUUCGAAUCGUGCCGGGUGCG
rnacentral:tRNA from 1 species